rfam:Pseudallescheria apiosperma strain IHEM 14462 SEQ_SAPIO_0126, whole genome shotgun sequence.
GAUUUAGUAGCUUAAUUGGUAGAGUGCUUCCCUGUCACGGAAGAAGAUGUCGGUUCGAAUCCGAUCUAAUUCG